rnacentral:misc_RNA from 1 species
GAUGAAGAACGUAGCGAAAUGCGAUAAGUAAUGUGAAUUGCAGAAUUCAGUGAAUCAUCGAAUCUUUGAACGCACAUUGCGCCCCCUGGUAUUCCGGGGGGCAUGCCUGUUCGAGCGUCAUUUCACCACUCAAGCCUCGCUUGGUAUUGGGCAACGCGGUCCGCCGCGUGCCUCAAAUCGACCGGCUGGGUCUUCUGUCCCCUAAGCGUUGUGGAAACUUUCGCUAAAGGGUGUUCGGGAGGCUACGCCAUAAAACAACCCCAUUUCUAAGGUUGACCUCGGAUCAGGUAGGGAUACCCGCUGAACUUAAGCAUAUCAAUAAGCGGAGGA